UGCCAGCAGCCGCGGUAAGACAGAGGGUGCAAACGUUGCUCGGAAUCACUGGGCGUAAAGCGCGUGUAGGCGGACUGGCAAGUCAGGCGUGAAAUCCCUGGGCUCAACCUAGGAACUGCACCUGAAACUGUUGGUCUGGAGUGCUGGAGAGGGAAGCGGGAUUCCUGGUGUAGAGGUGAAAUUCGUAGAUAUCAGGGGGAACACCCGUGGCGAAGGCGGCUUCCUGGACAGUUACUGACGCUGAGACGCGAAAGCGUGGGGAGCAAACAGGAUUAGAUA
rnacentral:rRNA from 1 species